rnacentral:lncRNA from 1 species
AGGACGCCAGCAGCCGGCGGGGGCGCUCCAGGACUCGAGAUGUGGGGCGCGGGCCCAUUGGCUGAGCAUUCCCCCGCGAGCCUCCCGGCCGCAGGGCCCACCUCCCGGCCCUCUCUCCGCGCCCCCAUUGGCCGUUCGCGUUCCGCUGGCGUCCGCUCCCGCCCCACUCCCUCCCGGAGGGAAACCGGGUUGGGGGUGGGAGGCUAAAGCAGGGAGGAGGAUGACUGGUCCUGCGGAUAAGGGUGUGUGCGAGAGCCAAUCAAAAGCGGAUGUCGAAAAGAGGCGCCGCGCCAGCCAGUCACGUCGCGAGGUGCGGUCGGGGCCGGCUGACGCGACUGCGGGCCUCAGCCAAUGGGCGUGCCACUGCCCGUCCGCUCUUCAGCAGCCGGUCGGGGGCGGUGGAAAAGCGAGUGAAGAGAGCGCGACGGCGGCGGCGGCGCAGCUAUUGCUGGACGGCCAGUGGGAGAGCGAGGCCUGAGCCUCUGCGUCUAGAUCAAAAUGGUUUCAAUCCCAGAAUACUAUGAAGGCAAGAAUGUCCUCCUCACAGGA